CCAAAGACAAUGAAGGGAAAAAAAUGUACUUGAUUGUCCCAGAGAGUCGGGUAGGUGGGAGCCGGCACAUUAGAGUACAUAUAUAGCUCAUCCCGGAGUUUCAAUCCUGAAAAAGCAGUAGGGAUUGACGUUAACUACGUUACAGUUUGGUACAAAUAAGUACCUAAAAAUGAGGGUGUGACUUUUAUGUCAUACCGAAUCAGGGUGGUACCGUGGAGAAUACCCUUCGCCCCUGCG
rnacentral:ncRNA from 1 species